rnacentral:lncRNA from 1 species
GGUAAAUAAAAACUAAUUAAGCAGCAUCAAAAGUCCACAAUUAGUUCACCAGCCUUCUAACCCGCUCAGAGUUCAUCUGGGGUAUACAGACUGUAUGAGUGUCCCUCUUUUCUCCGAGGCUUGGUAGCUUACGCCGAUGUGCAUUAUCUGAUUGCUUCCUGGUUCUGGUUCGUGCCGCGUUUCGCCCCUCCUCCUGGGGCUUUCUCAAACGUGAGAAUAAGAGAAGAUGUAGUCCACAACCUCUGGAUUGUCAAAGGUUAUCUAGGCCUGAUUUAUUGUUACGCGUCCUUGUGUUUAAAUUUUUUUUGGAUUUUACCUUUAAAAUAUAUUUUGCUUUACACUGCCCAACCACAUAUUAUGUUACUUAAGGCACAUGUGGGGAUGGAAAGAAGGAGAUUAUUGGGUAGGAUCUUCCAUUAGGAUAUUUCUAAUUAUUUGUAAUCCCCUUUCACACAGAGGAUCCGGGACAGAUCUGGAAACUAAACUCGGGAGUGGCACUGCUAGGUUUUGUGACAUUCUAAAUACCUGCACACAUUAAGGCAUGCAGUUUCUGCUGUUGAAGUGACACCCUAAUUCCCAUCUGACAAAUCAAUUAAAUGCCUCCUUUACACUGUAUGUGUAGUGGUGGUCCUUUUUAGUAGCUUGGAUGCAGGUAUUUAGUGACAAAGUGGGGACGAUCCUUAAUUUUGUCCCUGCUACCAGUCAAAAAAAUACAUAAAUACACUGGCUUCCUCACUGCAGUGGAUUUGUACAGAAGCAAGGGUGCAUCAUCAGUUUCCCUCGAAUUUGAUUGUUAACCCCUCAUCAAAAAGCACUUAAGGUGAUGCAAAAUGGUAGACCAUUGAGUAGUUUCUCCUAUUAGGAAGAGGCCCACUGGACGCCCAUAUAAAUUUAAUUGUAAUCCCCAAUCUCACCCUUGGACCUCUGUUAUUUUAUCCCUCCAGCUUCUGUACAGGGGAGGAGAUGGAACAGGAAUCACAUAGCCAGUUUUUGAAGGGCCCACUGGACCUCCAUAACAAUUACUGGUAAUACCAUCCUACCACACAAGAGAUUGAUUGCAUCAACUCUUGUGUAUUGCAACAACACAUAUUAUAUAGGUGUUGUUGUUUUUUUUUUUUAAAUGUCUUUCAUUUGAUCUCAUACAAAAUCUAAUGAAUUAUAAAAUAAAUAAAUGACAGGAUCACUGCACCUAAACCACUUAAUUGAGAGGAAGUGGUUUGGGUGACUUUCGUGGUAAUUUUACCUUCAUAUUGCUGCCAUAGGGUGUGAGAAAGUAAGAAGGACCAUAUGGUUGCAUUAUUGCCAGCUUACAUUAUGUAUGUUUAAAUACUUACCUGAUGGAUGUUUGUGCAACUAGAGUGCAAAUACUAAAGAUUUGAGGUUUUGCUGGUCAAAGAAGUUGAUGAAAUCUCCAACUGUGUCUUUAACAGUUCAGAGUUCUGUGAAUUAUUUGUAUUUCAUUAAUAAAAUAUUUGAAUGUUAUACUUUAUAUGGAAUCCUGAUCAGUUCACAUUUGUGUUUUUUUUAGCAGGCACUAAUUAAUCUGAAUUGCUUGGUGUAUUUAGUACAUUGUCUUUACAAUUCUCAUUUUUGGGGUUCUCCAGAUCUCCGGUAAUAACUGACUGUUUUAUUUGCAUAAAAUAAUCAAAACCCUCCUUUCAUUACACUUAAACAUGCUAAAUUACGAGGUCAAUUGCUACAUAGCCCGCUGAUUGCAAAGGUUAUUGCUGUAAAUAAAUAAACACUCAUAGCACAUAACGGUGAGCUUUAGUGCAUGGAGAUUUGUAUUUGUGAGGUUUAUUAUUGCACAGCUCUGUUAUAAGUCUUGGAGGACAGUAAUAUGAAGCAUGCAUUGUGUAUUUCAUUUCUGUGAUUCUUGUAGACAUCUGCACCCGUUAUUUGGUUUGAAGCAACACCAGAAACUAAUAUUGGGGCAAGUGCCUUAAAAAGGGAUAUAUGGGGUCUCUAAAAUACUGCUUAACACGCACUGCAUAUGAUCACAAUAUAAUAAACCAUAGCCUGGGAAAUAGGUUUGUCUCAUGAAGCAUUACAAAUUAUAAUAUGUCCAUGACUCCAUUAUUUUACACAAAUGUGUGAGAAUUGAGAGAGUGGUGGAAAAGGUAUGAAGAAAAAGAUAGUUUAACUACACUGCAGUGAAUCAAAAUAGUCCUUAAAACCAAGACAGAUUAGAUAUAAUUUCAAUGGGAAGUAUUUAGUGCCUCCCAUUACAAAGAAGGUUUUAGGUCAGAAGGUGAUCUGACCCAAUUCCCUCCUCCCUCGCCACAUAACAUUACAAACAAAUAGUAGGAGUAUCACAAAGUAUUAGUUCUAUAACAUUAGUCAUUUAUAGAUUGAGAGAAUGUAUGAAAUACUUUCAGGACCUCCUGGCUCCAUGUUAAGCUGCAACAGGUACACGGCUUACCCCCUACAACAAUGGUUGAGUACUUACCUUGGGAGGGUGUCAGGACACUGCUG